GCUUGGGAAUAUGCCUUAUGGUGGGGGACAACAGUUGGAAACGACUGCUAAUACCGCAUGAUGUCUACGGACCAAAGUGGGGGACCUUCGGGCCUCACGCCAUAAGAUUAGCCCAAGUGGGAUUAGCUAGUUGGUGAGGUAAUGGCUCACCAAGGCGACGAUCCCUAGCUGGUUUGAGAGGAUGAUCAGCCACACUGGGACUGAGACACGGCCCAGACUCCUACGGGAGGCAGCAGUGGGGAAUAUUGCACAAUGGGCGCAAGCCUGAUGCAGCCAUGCCGCGUGUGUGAAGAAGGCCUUCGGGUUGUAAAGCACUUUCAGUAAGGAGGAAAGGUUAAGUGUUAAUAGCGCUUAGCUGUGACGUUACUUACAGAAGAAGCACCGGCUAACUCCGUGCCAGCAGCCGCGGUAAUACGGAGGGUGCGAGCGUUA
rnacentral:rRNA from 1 species